CGUCGCUGCUAUUACCGUUGGUUCUGAGCUACCGCCGCCACUGCCGUUGGAAGCCGCCGUUAGGAUCGCCAUUGCUUUGGGGCUGUCAUAUGAUAUGUUGUCACUGUCGGAGGACCUGCGGCUCUGCGUUUCCGACCGCCGGUGGUGGCGCGGGUGUUGCUGGAAUCUCUGUUAGCUUGCCCUGUGCUGUUGAGUCACCACCGAUGCUGAGAAUAGGUGCUGGGAACUGCUAACGGAGCAGGCUGAGUCGCGGCAAUUCUGGCUGCCAACGGCGGUUUUGUGGUUGUCAGAACCACUGCUGAAGCUUCUGUCCUUUGGUUCAGUUAGUAUUCCUUAGUUGCCGAUUAAGUUAUCGGAGCCACAUGUUGCGCGUAAGGGUUAUCCUUGCUGCUGCGAGAGUAAACAAAGCUAUGAUGUAAGCUGCCGGUGAAUUCAGGUUGAUUUAGAGUUCCGGUGACGCUUUUGGAUUAUGAUAUUGUGUUUUGAGGAGGUGGGCGCAGAAGUCACGAAGAGUUUAUUUAUUGGUUAUUGAGAUACUCUGUAUUGCUUUAGAUUAUUAUUUUGUACCCUCGCCUUUAUCCUGAUAUAUUCUGUAAGAGGGAUAGAAAUUGUAUUGGGUAAUGUUUGUAAUAUUGUUUUUAUAUAUAUGUAUGUAUAUAUAUAUGGAUGUACUCUUUAUGAGUUUC